UAAUAAGAAAACACUGUCUGAAAAGAUGAAGUCUUUUUUCGUCUCUGCUUUGCUCAUUGCCUUUGUUCUGGUAUUGUUCUGCCAGUCUGGAAACGCUGUGAAAUGUUAUAAAUGUGCUCGUGGUCCAUGCAAAAAGACUGUGACAUGCCCAGCUGGGAAAGAUGCCUGCAUUGCAGUGAAUCUUGGUACAAAAAAUGUCUUUGACUGCUGGAAGUACUCUGAAUGCAAUCUAGACAAGGUUGGGGCUUACUACAAGUCCCAAAGCUUUGGAUUCAGAUGUUGUACAGGAAACCUGUGUAAUGCUAAAGCAUAUACAAACAGUGGCUAAGAAGUCUCAUCAUAGCUUCUUUGUAGACAGUGGUCCAGACGCUCACCUUCUAAAAUCAAAUAGAAAAUACAAAUUUAUUCCUUUUGAAAAUGUACUUAAUACUCAUUAAGAGAUUGCCCUUCAACUUGUUGUGCUGGUAGGAAAAUCUCUACUUCUUUGCAACUUCUUUCCAACUUGGCAACAUUUUGUCUUAACAAUACUUCCAAAGAGGAUUGGCUAGAGAUUAUAUUAUAUUAUGAGACUGCAAUUCUUUUGAAAGCAUGCUUCAUAUAAACAUCAUAUAUUAUUGCCAUGCAUAGCCAUUGGCCAUAAGUAAGAUGAUGUCCUUCAGGGUUUAGUCUAUUGUCUAGUUUGCUUUUUUAUGUAUUCCAAGAUCAGAAGCCCAAACAUCCCUUUAGGAUCUUGGUUCAUCCUGUCUUCAGAUUGUGUGUCUAGUAUUUACACUAAUCUCAGUUGUAUCUCUGCUUUCUUCAGUGCCUCCCUUGUGUCCUCACAUUUGAUACAGAUAUUAUGUAUAAAGAACAAUGUCUAGUAAUGUACUAGUUAUAUGAAGCUUUAAUUGGUAAGGUAUCUCUAAAUGCUAGACAAUUGCUUCCUUAAUUAAACUCUGUAUGAGAAUGGAAUCAUAUAAUUAUUGUUUUUUUUUGCUUAUGCAUAACAUAAAAUAAAACCUUGCAAACAUGUUUUAUUUUCCAAGUCUUU